UAACGAAUAUUGGGCAAUGGGCGCAAGCCUGACCCAGCGACGCCGCGUGUGGGAAGAAGUUCUUCGGAAUGUAAACCACUGUCAGGGAUUACCAAGCAAGUGCGCCUAACAUGCGCGCAAGUUGAGGCAUCCCAGAGGAAGCCACGGCUAACUUCGUGCCAGCAGCCGCGGUAAUACGAAGGUGGCGAGCGUUGUUCGGAAUCACUGGGCUUAAAGAGCACGUAGGCGGCUCAUCAAGUACUUUGUGAAAUCCCAUGGCUCAACCAUGGAAUUGCUGUGUAUACUGUUCGAGCUUGAGGCAGGUAUGGGCGUGUGGAACUCUUGGUGGAGCGGUGGAAUGCGUAGAUAUCAAGAGGAACGCCGGAGGCGAAAGCGAUGCGCUGGGCCUGUCCUGACGCUGAGGUGCGAAAGCCAGGGGAGCAAACG
rnacentral:rRNA from 1 species